AGUGGAUGGGGAGCAACCUAGUUGUGCGUGUGUAAAGGUAGUGCCAAGAAAAGCGAUGAUCAUGUUGAAAAUCAAUUCCCGGUACCCGAAACCGACACAGGUGGGCAAGUAGAGAAUACUAAGGGGCGCGAGGUAACUCUCUCCAAGGAACUCGGCAAAAUGACCCCGUAACUUAGGGAGAAGGGGUGCCACCGAGAGGUGGUCGCAGUGAAGAGGCCCAGGCGACUGUUUAGCAAAAACAUAGGUCUCUGCAAACUCGAAAGAGGAGGUAUAGGGGCUGACGCCUGCCCAGUGCCGGAAGGUUAAAGAAGUUGGUCAGUCUUAGGAUGAAGCUAGCGACUGAAGCCCCGGUGAACGGCGGCCGUAACUAUAACGGUCCUAAGGUAGCGAAAUUCCUUGUCGGGUAAGUUCCGACCCGCACGAAAGGCGUAACGAUCUGGGCGCUGUCUCGGAGAGAGGCUCGGCGAAAUAGGAUUGUCUGUGAAGAUACGGACUACCUGCAUUUGGACAGAAAGACCCUAUGAAGCUUUACUAUAGCUUGGAAUUGUGUUCGGGCUUCCUGUGCGCAGGAUAGGUGGGAGGCGUAGAAGGUAUUCUUGUGGGGAUACUGGAGCCAACGGUGAGAUACCACUCUCAGGAGGCUAGAAUUCUAACUUAAUUAAGGACAGUUUCAGGUGUGUAGUUUGACUGGGGCGGUCGCCUCCAAAGAGGUAACGGAGGCGUACAAAGGUUCCCUCAGACUGGUUGGAAAUCAGUCGAAGAGUGCAAAGGCAGAAGGGAGCUUGACUGCGAGAAGUACAGUUCGAGCAGGGUGGAAACACGGUCUUAGUGAUCCGACGGUGCUGUGUGGAAGGGCCGUCGCUCAACGGAUAAAAGUUACUCUAGGAUAACAGGCUGAUCUCCCCCAAGAGUUCACAUCGACGGGGAGGUUUGGCACCUCGAUGUCGGCUCAUCGCAACCUGGGGCGGAAGUACGUCCCAAGGGUUGGGCUGUUCGCCCAUUAAAGCGGUACGUGAGCUGGGUUCAGAACGUCGUGAGACAGUUCGGUCCAUAUCCGAUGUAGGCGUGAGAAUAUUGAGAGGAGCCUUCCUUAGUACGAGAGGACCGGGAAGGACGCACCGCUGGUGUACCUGUUAUGAUGCCAAUUGUAAACGCAGGGUAGCCAAGUGCGGAGAGGAUAACCGCUGAAAGCAUCUAAGUGGGAAGCCCACCUCAAGAUGAGUAUUCUGGUGUAAGGUCACGGGAAGACGACCCGUAAAUAGGCACGAGGUGGAAGUGCAGAGAUGUAUGAAGCCGAAGUGUACUAAUAGACCGUCGGCUUGAC
rnacentral:rRNA from 1 species